AGGAGGGUUUCCCUUCCUCCACAUCCUCUCCAACACUUGUUUCCCGCCUUGUUAAUUUUUACAGUAUCCUGCCCGGAGUGGAGGGCAGGAGCUGGGGUCUGUGGGCUUGAAGCUCAGAAAGGAGGCUCCCCGGGAAAGCGAGCUCUGAGGAAUCCUGAGCAAGUGUGCAAGUACAGGAGACACGCCAGGGUGCCCCCGGGCCAGCCCAGACACCCCAUGCGGGCCUCUGGGAGGAACCCAGGGCGGACGAAGCACAAUGGGGAGCCAAGGAAGCCUUCAGAAAGGGAAGAGAUGGGAUCUGCUUAACAGUUUAAGUCGGAUCUGGGUGCUCUGCGGAGUGGCACCUUUCGAAAACCGGAAAGUCUGACGACCUGCACACACGUACCCAGCGUGGACGUGUCUUCUAUCGGGGAGAGGACUGCCGGCCCCGGGGGCAAACGGGCCUGGGACUGCCCAGCCGUCCCGGCAGUAGUCUCCCCAUCAAGUUUGGAGCCUCACAAGGGGUCUGAACUCAACCGCCCCAAGAACAAGACCUAAGCUGAUAUCAAGAUUCGUACACUUGGGAUCCUUGGGUGGUGCAGCGGUUUGGCGCCUGCCUUUGGCCCAGGGCGCGAUCCUGGAGACCCGGGAUCGAAUCCCACAUCGGGCUCCCGGUGCAUGGAGCCUGCUUCUC